rnacentral:rRNA from 1 species
GACGAACGCUGGCGGCGUGCUUAACACAUGCAAGUCGAAUGGACAGGCCCUGCUUUUGUGGGGUGCUCGAGUGGCGAACGGGUGAGUAACACGCGAGUAACCUGCCCUUGUCUUUGGGAUAUCUUCAGGGAACUGGGGCUAAUACCGGAUAGGAGCUCCUGCUGCAUGGUGGGGGUUGGAAAGUUUCGGCGGUUGGGGAUGGACUCGAGGCUUAUCAGCUUGUUGGGCUGGUAGUUGCUUACCAAGGGUUCGACGGGUAGGCGGCCUGGGAGGGGGACCGGGCACAAGGGGACUGAGAGAGGGCCCAGACGCCUACGGGAGGCAGCAGUGGGGAAUAUUGCACAAUGGGCGGAAGCCUGAUGCAGCAACGUCGCGUGCGGGAUGACGGCCUUCGGGGUGUAAACCGCUGUCGCCUGUGACGAAGCGGGAGUGACGGUAAUGGGUAAAGAAGCACCGGCUAACUACGUG